rnacentral:RNase_P_RNA from 1 species
AUAGCAGACCGCCUUAUCGCUUUUUGAAUCUAUCAAAAAGAGGAAAGUCCGGACACCAUAGCACGGCAUAGCGGGUAACACCCGUCAUUUUUGCUUAUUGCAAGAAUAGGACAAGUGCAGCAGAAAGAAUGUACAGGUUAAGCUGUAGUGAAAUCAGGUAAACUCUAUGCGGUGAAAUACCAUGUAAACCAAGGCUUGAGGUUUGUGCGGCCAAUCUUGGAGGGUAGGUAGUUUGAGCUUUUUGGCAACAAAAAGUCUAGAUAAAUGAUAAGGGUUUCAAUGUGUUGAAAUACAGAAUCCGGCUUACAGGUCUGCUUUUUUU